rnacentral:rRNA from 1 species
AUGAAUGAAAGCUUCUGCCCGAUCAUGUCGUGGAACGUCCGCAACCUAAACUAGCCGGCGAAACGGGCGGCGAUCUGCGAGGUUGCCAUAGCGCAUAAAGCAGCAAUCAUGUGCUUGUAGGAAACUAAGAUAGAUUUCUGGACACCCACCAUCGUCAGGGAAAUUGGUGGCGCCGCCCUGACUGAUUGUGUCGUCCUCCGUGCGAUCGGCUCCCGCGGCGGAGCAGCGAUCUUCUGGAACAAUGAGCUAGUUAGCAUCGCAUCUCACACAAUAGGCAAAUUCGCGAUCACCGCCAAAGUGACACUUCUCCGACAAUCCAAUAGCUUCUGGCUCACGACAGUUUACGGCCCAGUAGACAACGCUAGAAAAGCAGCAUUCCUCGAUGAACUGGCUAGAACAGCUCCCUCGUCAUCUGAUCCUUGGCUCAUGAACGGAGAUUUUAACCUCAUUUACGAGGCGAGAGACAAAAACAACCAUCAGCUCAACCGCAGGGUCAUGGGCAUGUUCAGGCGGUCCAUCAACGCCGCCGGCCUCAAAGAGAUUAAGUGCAAAAAUCGUCGCUUCACCUGGAGUAACGAGCGUGAGAACCCGACGCUCGUCAGCAUCGACAAAUUUUUCUACAAUAAUAGCUGGGAAGACCUUUUCCCCGCAAGCACACCGAUGACGGCGUCCACCGCGUGCUCGGACCACUGCCCUCUGCUCCUCGCGGAUGCAGUUGCUCCUCGCCGUCGCACCAAGUUCAAAUUCGAAAGCUUCUGGCCGUUGUUCCCGUGCUUCCAUGACACGGUCGACCACGCUUGGAGCAGGCCAGUCCAUAGCUCAUGUGCUUUCAAGCGCCUGUCCAUCAAGAUGGCGCGCACUACAAAAGACCUGAAGAUCUGGAGCUCCUCCCUUUUCAGCGAUGCUAAGAUACAAUUCCACAUAGCAACAGAGAUCAUCCUACGCCUCGACAUAGCCUAG